rnacentral:rRNA from 1 species
CAACGUAAACAACCUGCCUUCAGGAUGGGGACAACAGACGGAAGCGACUGCUAAUACCGAAUAAGUUCCAAGGGCCGCAUGGCCCAUGGAAGAAAAGGUGGCCUCUACCUGUAAGCUAUCGCCUGAAGAGGGGUUUGCGUCUGAUUAGCUGGUUGGAGGGGUAACGGCCCACCAAGGCGACGAUCAGUAGCCGGUCUGAGAGGAUGAACGGCCACACUGGAACUGAGACACGGUCCAG